GAUGAACGCUGGCGGCGUGCCUAAUACAUGCAAGUCGAGCGAACGGACGAAAAGCUUGCUUUUCUGAUGUUAGCGGCGGACGGGUGCGUACCACGUGGAUAACCUACCUAUACGACUGGGAUAACUUCGGGAAACCGGAGCUAAGACCGGAUAAUAUUUUGAACCGGAUGGUUCAAAAGUGAAAGAAGGUCUUGCUGUCGCUUAUAGAUGGAUCCGCGCUGCAUUAGCUAGUUGGUAAGGUAAUGGCUUACCAACGCAACUAUGCAUAGCCGCCCUGAGGGGGAGGUUCCACAGCUGGGAUCGGAGACACAGCCCAGACCCCGACGGGAGGCAACAGUAGGGAAUCUUACGGAAUGGGCGAGAGCCUGACGGUGGAACGUCGGCUGAAGGAUGAAGGACUUCUGAUGGGUAAGCGCUGUUAGUAGUGAAGUUCAUAUGUUUAAGUAACUGUGCACAUCUUGACGGUACCGAAUCAGAAAGCCCCGGCUAACUACGUG
rnacentral:rRNA from 1 species